rnacentral:rRNA from 1 species
GACGAACGCUGGCGGCGUGCCUAAUACAUGCAAGUCGAACGAGAGCGACCGGUGCUUGCACUGGUCAAUCUAGUGGCGAACGGGUGAGUAACACGUGGGUAACCUGCCCAUCAGAGGGGGAUAACAUCCGGAAACGGAUGCUAAAACCGCAUAGGUCUUCGAGCCGCAUGGCUUGAAGAGGAAAAGAGGCGCAAGCUUCUGCUGAUGGAUGGACCCGCGGUGCAUUAGCUGGUUGGUGAGGUAACGGCUCACCAAGGCCGUGAUGCAUAGCCGACCUGAGAGGGUGAUCGGCCACAUUGGGACUGAGACACGGCCCAAACUCCUACGGGAGGCAGCAGUAGGGAAUCUUCCGCAAUGGACGCAAGUCUGACGGAGCAACGCCGCGUGAGUGAAGAAGGUUUUCGGAUCGUAAAACUCUGUUGUUAGAGAAGAACAAGUGCUAGAGUAACUGUUAGCGCCUUGACGGUAUCUAACCAGAAAGCCACGGCUAACUACGUG